AAAUGACAAGUUUGACCUCAAAUCAGGUAGGACUACCCGCUG
rnacentral:rRNA from 1 species